CUGUCUCGGGGCUUGUUUUCCGUUGCCUGCGGUUUGUUCCAGUAACUCAGGCUGGGAAAGCAAGUCUGGGAGGCUG
rnacentral:pre_miRNA from 1 species